rnacentral:rRNA from 1 species
AUCGAACGCUGGCGGCAGGCUUAACACACGCAAGUUCGAACGGUAGCAGGAGAAAGCCUGCUUUUCUUGCCGACAGCGGCGGACGGGCGAGUAAUGCUCGGGAAUCUGGCUUCUGGAGGGGGAUAACUACGGGAAACUGUAGCUAAUACCGCGUAGAAUCGGAAAAUGAAAGUCGCGGGACCGCAAGGCCGCAUGCCAUGAGAUGAGCCCAAGUGGGAUUAGGUAGUUUGGUGGGGUAAAGGCCUACCAAGCCUGCGAUCUCUAGCUGGUCUGAGAGGAUGACCAGCCACACUGGAACUGAGACACGGUCCAGACUCCUACGGGAGGCAGCAGUGGGGAAUAUUGCGCAAUGGGGGCAACCCCGACGCAGCCAUGCCGCGUGAAUGAAGAAGGCCUUCGGGCUGUAAAGUUCUUUCGGUAUUGAGGAAGGUUGAUGUGUUAAUAGUACAUCAAAUUGACGUUAAAUACAGAAGAAGCACCGGCUAACUCCGUGCCAGCAGCCGCGGUAAUACGGAGGGUGCGAGCGUUAAUCGGAAUAACUGGGCGUAAAGGGCACGCAGGCGGUUAUUUAAGUGAGGUGUGAAAGCCCCGGGCUUAACCUGGGAAUUGCAUUUCAGACUGGGUAACUAGAGUACUUUAGGGAGGGGUAGAAUUCCACGUGUAGCGGUGAAAUGCGUAGAGAUGUGGAGGAAUACCGAAGGCGAAGGCAGCCCCUUGGGAAUGUACUGACGCUCAUGUGCGAAAGCGUGGGGAGCAAACAGGAUUAGAUACCCUGGUAGUCCACGCUGUAAACGCUGUCGAUUUGGGGAUUGGGCUUAAAGCUUGGUGCCCGUAGCUAACGUGAUAAAUCGACCGCCUGGGGAGUACGGCCGCAAGGUUAAAACUCAAAUGAAUUGACGGGGGCCCGCACAAGCGGUGGAGCAUGUGGUUUAAUUCGAUGCAACGCGAAGAACCUUACCUACUCUUGACAUCCAUGGAAUCCUGUAGAGAUACGGGAGUGCCUUCGGGAACCAUGAGACAGGUGCUGCAUGGCUGUCGUCAGCUCGUGUUGUGAAAUGUUGGGUUAAGUCCCGCAACGAGCGCAACCCUUAUCCUUUGUUGCCAGCGAUUUGGUCGGGAACUCAAAGGAGACUGCCAGUGAUAAACUGGAGGAAGGUGGGGAUGACGUCAAGUCAUCAUGGCCCUUACGAGUAGGGCUACACACGUGCUACGAAUGGCGUAUACAGAGGGUGGCGAAACUGCGAGGUGGAGCGAAUCUCAGAAAAGUACGUCUAAGUCCGGAUUGGAGUCUGCAACUCGAACUCCAUGAAAGUCGGAAUCGCUAGUAAUCGCGAAAUCAGAAUGUCGCGGUGAAUUACGUUUCCCGGGCCUUGUCACACCGCCCGUCA